AGCGCAAUUCGUCCUCGCCUCGCGGAUGCCUGCGCUAGAUACCGCAGCUCGCUGCGGGUUCUCCCCCACGCCUGCGCGCGAUAGCGCAGCUCUCUGCGGGUGCUUGCCAUCCCCUCGGCUCAUUGGCGCAGCUCGCCCUCCCCUGCUGGAGAAGUGUUUUAGUGGCGAGGGUGGUGCUGAAGAGAAGACGAUGCCUUGUGCAGGUCCUGAGCAAGUGGCGUGAUGGCAGCAGCGGCCGGAGGAGGAGAUGGAUGCGUGUGUAGGUCCUGAAGAUGUUGAAUGCAAGCAACAUGUAAGUCACGUUUGUUGUACUCUUUUGCUUGAUUAUGG
rnacentral:lncRNA from 1 species